AUUAAUUAGCCUCUAAUUCACCCUGAGUAGUACCAGCUGUCUAUAAACUCAAAGAAUUUGGCGGCAACUCCACCUGUUAGAGGAACCUACCUCGUAAUUGAUGACCCACGUUUUAAUGACUUGAUCUAAAAGUUUGUAUACCGCCGUUUAGAAUAUAUUAUAAAAUGUAUUCACAAUUAAUUUAUUAAGUUUAUCAGGUCAAGGUGCAGCUUAUGAUUAAGGGUUGGCGGGUUACAAUGUAAAUAAAUAAGCGGAUUUGAAUUUUAAACCACUAUGAAGACGGAUUUAAUAGUAAUGCAAGAUUUAAUUUCAUGGAAAGGUUCUGAU
rnacentral:rRNA from 1 species